UGAACAGUAUACUCUGUACUUGUUCAUUGGUUUGAGGGAGGUGGGAGGGAAGAAAUUGCAAAAGAUGUUGUGCUAGUGUGUACUAGAAAAUUUCAGCUUGUCCGUUGCCCUGUAUGUUAUGUGCAUUUCAUUUAACUUUACUGUAGAUAUUGUGUAUAUAUUGGCCAGUGGGUCCUAAUUUUAUAAUAUCUAGUCUCUAGAUAUUAAAGAGGUUGCCGAUGUAUGACAAAAGUAGAGUUAGUAAACUAACACAUUUUGUACACUUUGUGUUAAAAUUCAUCGAAAGGCCGUCUUCUGAAAAGGACUUUAGAAAUGAAAUUGUAAAAUCACAUCUAAGUGACACAUGUGCCUGUACUCACCCAUUGGGUUGGUGGUAGAGAGGAGGAGUUGGGAGAAAUGAAGGAUUCUAGACUAGAAUGUUCCUAAAUGGAAGACACUUUCAGAUACAAUCAUUGUUACAUGUGUGUGGUUUAUUCAACACUACUGUGUGAAGAGUGGACAAAUAUAAGUCGUUAUUUGAAACAUCUAGUCUUUCUAGAUGUUUAGAAGUGCACAAAGUAUGUUAAAAGUAGAGUUCAAGUAAUACCCUUUAAGUGUUUUUUCAGUUAAUUUGUAGGAAUGGUUGUGUUUUGGGAAUGGGAUUGUUAAACUUGAUGUCUUGGAGAGUAUGCUGACUGUUCACUGGGUGUGGGAGGGGUGGGUAGGGAAGGAAGUGCCCAGAGGAGGGUUCUGUGCCCAUGACUCCUUAGACAAGUUCAGACUGUCUAAUGAUUGUUCUAUAUGUGCAUUUUAGUUAAUAUUGCUAUGUGUUAAAGGAUAAACAAGUCCUAAUGCCCAAACUAUGUUAAAAGUAGAGGUAGUAAAACUUGUAUAAAUGCCCUUGUGUUAGUUUUUUGGAAUGACUGUCUUCUCAGAGUGUCUUUGUUAAUCCACCUCUUGGAGCCGGAUGUGGUCCUAUACUUAGUCAUUGAAGUGGUGGAGGAGGGAGAAGAGGAAGGGUGUAGGGAAGGGCUCUUUGCUAGUAUCUCCAUAUCUAGAAGACAGUUUUAAGUAAUAACUGUAGGUCUAUAAGUGCAUUUUUGUAAAGUACCUGUGUGUAUUGUAGACAGGGUUCAUUAUUUUGCAGCAUCUAAGCUUUUCAGAUGUCUUGAGGUGACAAUGUAUGAUAAAAAGUAGAGCUAGUGAAUUAACCAAUUCGUAAAUAUCUUUUUGUUGUAAUUGAUAGAAAAGAAGCAUCUUGGACAUGGAGUUGUUAAACCAUCGCUGAGAAAUAUACAGCGGGACUUGUUCGUUAGGUUGGCAGCAGAGGGGCAAAAGGAAGUAUGGGGGAGGCAUGUAUGCGGAUGUGUUUGUAUUUACACUUUGGUGAUAGGCAUUGAUCUGUGUGCACCUCUUUUGGCUGUACUAUAGGAAUACAUUGUUAAGUAAUUCAAUGGAAACAUACCUCCUUGCUAAUAAUAGUAUAGAUCGGAUAUCGGGUUCUCUUAGAAGUAUUAUAUUUUGUGUACUGUUGCUUUAUGUCUCAUUUUUAAUUGAACAUUAAGGGAAUGCAGUAUUUUAAUCAUAACGCUGCCAAUAUCUUUAUUUAGAGGGCUGUUGCCAUUUUUGUUGCCAAGAAAGGCAGGAUUACAUUUUUCUUCCAGAUUGAGUUGGUGUAGUGUAUUCUUGGUUAUCAAAAUACUCAUAUAGGUUUGAGGCUUUGAAAUGGUAAAUAUUUGUGAUGUGUGAAAAAGCAUGAUACAUAACUGUAUAACCUUCAUUCGAUAAAAAUAGAUGCUUAGUUGUGUAGAUGAACACACAGGGACC